rnacentral:rRNA from 1 species
GACAGAGGGUGCAAACGUUGUUCGGAAUUACUGGGCGUAAAGCGUGUGUAGGCGGUCUAGCAAGUCGGAUGUGAAAGCCCCGGGCUCAACCCGGGAAGUGCACUCGAUACUGCUGGACUUGAGUCUCGGAGAGGUUGGUGGAAUUCUCGGUGUAGAGGUGAAAUUCGUAGAUAUCGAGAGGAACACCGGCGGCGAAGGCGGCCAACUGGACGAAGACUGACGCUGAGACACGAAAGCGUGGGGAGCGAACAGG